CUAUACUGCAGUCGAGCGAAUGGAUUAAGAGCUUGCUCUUAUGAAGUUAGCGGCGGACGGGUGAGUAACACGUGGGUAACCUGCCCAUAAGACUGGGAUAACUCCGGGAAACCGGGGCUAAUACCGGAUAACAUUUUGAACCGCAUGGUUCGAAAUUGAAAGGCGGCUUCGGCUGUCACUUAUGGAUGGACCCGCGUCGCAUUAGCUAGUUGGUGAGGUAACGGCUCACCAAGGCAACGAUGCGUAGCCGACCUGAGAGGGUGAUCGGCCACACUGGGACUGAGACACGGCCCAGACUCCUACGGGAGGCAGCAGUAGGGAAUCUUCCGCAAUGGACGAAAGUCUGACGGAGCAACGCCGCGUGAGUGAUGAAGGCUUUCGGGUCGUAAAACUCUGUUGUUAGGGAAGAACAAGUGCUAGUUGAAUAAGCUGGCACCUUGACGGUACCUAACCAGAAAGCCACGGCUAACUACGUGCCAGCAGCCGCGGUAAUACGUAGGUGGCAAGCGUUAUCCGGAAUUAUUGGGCGUAAAGCGCGCGCAGGUGGUUUCUUAAGUCUGAUGUGAAAGCCCACGGCUCAACCGUGGAGGGUCAUUGGAAACUGGGAGACUUGAGUGCAGAAGAGGAAAGUGGAAUUCCAUGUGUAGCGUGAAUUGCGUAGAGAUAUGGAGG
rnacentral:rRNA from 1 species